AUGGUCAUUAUCACAUUGAAACCCCGGUUCUCGUACGAUCAUCGAAGUUAAGCAACGUCGGCCCUGGUCAGUACCUAGAUGGGGGAUCGCUCGGGAAUACCAGGUGCUGUAA